UUUUAUUUGAGAGUUUGAUCCUGGCUCAGGAUGAACGCUGGCGGCGUGCCUAACACAUGCAAGUUGAGCGAUUUACUUCGGUAAAGAGCGGCGGACGGGUGAGUAACGCGUGGGUAACCUACCCUGUACACACGGAUAACAUACCGAAAGGUAUGCUAAUACGGGAUAAUAUAUUUGAGAGGCAUCUCUUGAAUAUCAAAGGUGAGCCAGUACAGGAUGGACCCGCGUCUGAUUAGCUAGUUGGUAAGGUAACGGCUUACCAAGGCGACGAUCAG
rnacentral:rRNA from 1 species